UCUGGGUGGCGAGUGGCGGACGGGUGAGGAAUACAUCGGAAUCUACCUUUUCGUGGGGGAUAACGUAGGGAAACUUACGCUAAUACCGCAUACGACCUUCGGGUGAAAGCAGGGGACCUUCGGGCCUUGCGCGGAUAGAUGAGCCGAUGUCGGAUUAGCUAGUUGGCGGGGUAAAGGCCCACCAAGGCGACGAUCCGUAGCUGGUCUGAGAGGAUGAUCAGCCACACUGGAACUGAGACACGGUCCAGACUCCUACGGGAGGCAGCAGUGGGGAAUAUUGGACAAUGGGCGCAAGCCUGAUCCAGCCAUACCGCGUGGGUGAAGAAGGCCUUCGGGUUGUAAAGCCCUUUUGUUGGGAAAGAAAAGCAGUCGGCUAAUACCCGGUUGUUCUGACGGUACCCAAAGAAUAAGCACCGGCUAACUUCGUGCCAGCAGCCGCGGUAAUACGAAGGGUGCAAGCGUUACUCGGAAUUACUGGGCGUAAAGCGUGCGUAGGUGGUUGUUUAAGUCUGUUGUGAAAGCCCUGGGCUCAACCUGGGAAUUGCAGUGGAUACUGGGCG
rnacentral:rRNA from 1 species